rnacentral:rRNA from 1 species
GUCGAGCGAUGAAGUUUCUUCGGAAAUGGAUUAGCGGCGAACGGGUGAGGAACACGUGAAGAAUCUGCCCUCCACUUUGGGAUAACACAGGGAAACCUGUGCUAAUACCGAAUAUUGAAGCAUAAGUGGCAUCACUGAGUUUUGAAAGAAUUUCGGUGGAGGAUGACUUCGCGGCCUAUCAGCUAGUUGGUGAGGUAAUGGCUCACCAAGGCAACGACGGGUAGCCGGCCUGAGAGGGCGACCGGCCACACUGGGACUGAGACACGGCCCAGACUCCUACGGGAGGCAGCAGUGGGGAAUAUUGGGCAAUGGAGGAAACUCUGACCCAGCGACGCCGCGUGCGGGAUGAAGGCCUUCGGGUUGUAAACCGCUUUCAGUAGGGAAGAAGCGAAAGUGACGGUACCUACAAAAGAAGCACCGGCUAACUAUGUGCCAGCAGCCGCGGUAAUACAUAGGGUGCAAGCGUUGUCCGGAAUUAUUGGGCGUAAAGAGCUCGUAGGUUGUUUGUUACGUCGGAUGUGAAAACCUGAGGCUCAACCUCAGGCCUGCAUUCGAUACGGGCAAACUAGAGUUUGGUAGGGGAGACUGGAAUUCCUGGUGUAGCGGUGGAAUGCGCAGAUAUCAGGAGGAACACCAAUGGCGAAGGCAGGUCUCUGGGCCAAUACUGACACUGAGGAGCGAAAGUCUGGGGAGCGAACAGGAUUAGAUACCCU